GACGAACGCUGGCGGCGUGCUUAACACAUGCAAGUCGAACGGGUCUGCCCUGUUUUUUGCGGGGUGGGUCAGUGGCGAACGGGUGAGUAACACGUGAGUAACCUGCCCCUCACUUCUGGAUAACCGCUUGAAAGGGUGGCUAAUACGGGGUGUUCUGGCUGUGCCGCAUGGUGUGGCUGGGAAAGAUUCACUUUUGUGGUGUUUUGGUGGGGGAUGGGCUCGCGGCCUAUCAGCUUGUUGGUGGGGUGAUGGCCUGCCAAGGCUUUGACGGGUAGCCGGCCUGAGAGGGUGGGCGGUCACACUGGGACGGAGAUACGGCCCAGACUCCUGCGGGAGGCAGCAGUGGGGGGUAUUGCACAAUGGGCGGAAGCCUGAUGCAGCGACGUCGCGUGAGGGAUGGAGGCCUGCGGGUUGUGAACCUCUUUCGCCGGUGAAGAAGGUCCUGCUCUUUGUGGGGGGGUUGACGGUAGCCGGGUUAUGAAGCGCCGGCUAACUACGUG
rnacentral:rRNA from 1 species